UCAAAGUGCAGCAGAUGGCGCAAAAACUAAUGAGCAUGUUCCCAAGGCCACGGAGAUCCAGCCUGCGUGCCUCGGACUUCCUAGGCUGCCCAGCUGCUGGUGUGAGCAAGGGUGCAGCCCUCCCGGCCAAUGUCACACACAGACAGGACUCCAGGAUAAACCCAUGUGGCUCUGCCUGGCAGGCCUGGCCUCCGCCUUGCACCUUGCCUUCCCCUUGCUCCGAAUCAGCAAACGCCUCCAGGCUGAAGCGAGCUCCCGUCUUUCCUUGGAGCUUGCUCAGGGAUUCUUCAUGUCCUGUUAGUCCUCUGAUGUUUUCCAGAAGACUUUGAAUGCUGCCUCUUCAGUGGUCUCCAGAGGGCUGGACUGCCUAGCCUACACAUCCUGAGGCAGAAGCCUUACAACCGGCGUCUCUUCAUGCUUCUAGCGCAUCCUAGGAGACAUCUUCCAGCAAAUCCUGCCAAUUACACACUGGGGCCCAUUCUGUUAUGCACUUGGUUCUGGGCUGCUGCAAUUUCUUCCUUUUAAAGGUUGUCUGUUAUGCAGUUGGUUCUGGGCUGGUGCGAUUUCUUCCUUUUAAAGGUUGCCUGUUAUGCAGUUGGUUCUGGACUGGUGCGAUUUCUUCCUUUUAAAGGUUGUCUGUUAUGCAGUUGGUUCUGGACUGGUGCGAUUUCUUCCUUUUAAAGGUUGUCUGUUAUGCAGUUGGUUCUGGGCUGGUGCGAUUUCUUCCUUUUAAAGGUUGUCUGUUAUGCAGUUGAUUCUGGGCUGGUGCAAUUUCUUCCUCUUAAAGGUUGUAUGUUAAACUCCCUGGAGCUCUAUCUGUGGCUCCUAGUGGCAGCCUCUUCUCG
rnacentral:lncRNA from 1 species